GAUGAACGCUGGCGGCGUGCCUAACACAUGCAAGUCGAACGGAGAUUACGGACGGAAGUUUUCGGAUGGAAGCCUGUAAUUCUUAGUGGCGGACGGGUGAGUAACGCUUGGGCAACCUGCCCUAUACAGGGGGAUAGCAGCUGGAAACGGCUGGUAAGGCCGCAUAAGUCGGUUAAAUCGCAUGAUUUGAUCGGGAAAUGAGCAAUCAGGUAUAGGAUGGGCCCGCGUCCGAUUAGCCAGUUGGCAGGGUAAAAGCCUACCAAAGCGACGAUCGGUAGCCGGACUGAGAGGUCGGACGGACACAUUGGGACUGGGACACGGCCCGAACUCCUACGGGAAGCGGCAGUGGGGGAUAUUGCACAAUGGAGGAAACUCUGAUGCAGCGACGCCGCGUGAGUGAAGAAGUAUUUCGGUAUGUAAAGCUCUAUCAGCAGGGGAGAUGAUGACGGUACCUGACGAAGAAGCCCCGGCUAACUACGUG
rnacentral:rRNA from 1 species